rnacentral:rRNA from 1 species
AUUGAACGCUGGCGGCAGGCCUAACACAUGCAAGUCGAGCGGUAACACAGGGAGCUUGCUCCCGGGUGACGAGCGGCGGACGGGUGAGUAAUGUCUGGGAAACUGCCUGAUGGAGGGGGAUAACUACUGGAAACGGUAGCUAAUACCGCAUAAUGUCGCAAGACCAAAGAGGGGGACCUUCGGGCCUCUUGCCAUCAGAUGUGCCCAGAUGGGAUUAGCUAGUAGGUGGGGUAACGGCUCACCUAGGCGACGAUCCCUGGCUGGUCUGAGAGGAGGAGCGGCCACCCUGGAACUGCGACACGGUCCGGACUCCUACGGGAGGCAGCAGUGGGGAAUAUUGCACAAUGGGCGCAAGCCGGAUGCAGCCAUGCCGCGUGUAUGAAGAAGGCCUUCGGGUUGUAAAGUACUUUCAGCGGGGAGGAAGGCGAUAAGGCUAAUAACCUUGUCGAUUGACGUUACCCGCAGAAGAAGCACCGGCUAACUCCGUGCCAGCCGCCGCGGUAA